AUUGAACGCUGGCGGCAGGCCUAACACAUGCAAGUCGAGCGGAUGACGGGAGCUUGCUCCUUGAUUCAGCGACGGACGGGUGAGUAAUGCCUAGGAAUCUGCCUGGUAGUGGGGGGACAACGUUUCGAAAGGAACGCUAAUACCGCAUACGUCCUACGGGAGAAAGCAGGGGACCUUCGGGCCUUGCGCUAUCAGAUGAGCCUAGGUCGGAUUAGCUAGUUGGUGGGGUAAUGGCUCACCAAGGCGACGAUCCGUAACUGGUCUGAGAGGAUGAUCAGUCACACUGGAACUGAGACACGGUCCAGACUCCUACGGGAGGCAGCAGUGGGGAAUAUUGGACAAUGGGCGAAAGCCUGAUCCAGCCAUGCCGCGUGUGUGAAGAAGGUCUUCGGAUUGUAAAGCACUUUAAGUUGGGAGGAAGGGCAGUAAGUUAAUACCUUGCUGUUUUGACGUUACCGGCAGAAUAAGCACCGGCUAACUCUGUGCCAGCAGCCGCCGCAG
rnacentral:rRNA from 1 species